rnacentral:rRNA from 1 species
GACGAACGCUGGCGGCGUGCUUAACACAUGCGAGUCGAACGGAAAGGCCCUGCUUUUGUGGGGUGCUCGAGUGGCGAACGGGUGAGUAACACGUGAGUAACCUGCCCUUGACUUUGGGAUAACUUCAGGAAACUGGGGCUAAUACCGGAUAGGAGCUCCUGCUGCAUGGUGGGGGUUGGAAAGUUUCGGCGGUUGGGGAUGGACUCGCGGCUUAUCAGCUUGUUGGUGGGGUAGUGGCUUACCAAGGCUUUGACGGGUAGCCGGCCUGAGAGGGUGACCGGCCACAUUGGGACUGAGAUACGGCCCAGACUCCUACGGGAGGCAGCAGUGGGGAAUAUUGCACAAUGAGCGGAAGCCUGAUGCAGCAACGCCGCGUGCGGGAUGACCGCCUUCGGGUUGUAAACCGCUUUCGCCUGUGACGAAGCGUGAGUGACGGUAAUGGGUAAAGAAGCACCGGCUAACUACGUG